rnacentral:rRNA from 1 species
UACGAAGGGGGCUAGCGUUGUUCGGAUUUACUGGGCGUAAAGCGCACGUAGGCGGAUUGUUAAGUCAGGGGUGAAAUCCCGGAGCUCAACUCCGGAACUGCCUUUGAUACUGGCAAUCUUGAGGCUGGAAGAGGUUAGUGGAAUUCCCAGUGUAGAGGUGAAAUUCGUAGAUAUCGGGAGGAACACCGGUGGCGAAGGCGGCCUUCUGGACGGAUACUGACGCUGAGACGCGAAAGCGUGGGGAGCAAACAGG